rnacentral:rRNA from 1 species
UACGAAGGGGGCUAGCGUUGUUCGGAAUCACUGGGCGUAAAGGGCGCGUAGGCGGCUUUGUAAGUCGGGGGUGAAAGCCUGUGGCUCAACCACAGAAUUGCCUUCGAUACUGCAUGGCUUGAGACCGGAAGAGGUUAGUGGAACUGCGAGUGUAGAGGUGAAAUUCGUAGAUAUUGCAAGAACACCAGUGGCGAAGGCGGCUGACUGGUCCGGUUC